AGCGGACACUAGUGGAUGCACCAUCGUCUGGUUGGUGUAAUGAAAAAUUGAUAAUUGUUGUUUUAUUAGAAUUAAGCUUUAAAUUAUGCAGAAAACACCACUUUUCGAUUUUUUAAGGUUUUCCGUAAUGCUGGCGUAAGCUGUGUGAAGGUCCUUGCUACUGCAGUAGCAGUACCUACCUAAUCGCCAGCAAUCCAAAACGAUGGCACUAUUCCAAAACUGCAGCGAAUUAGCACGGACCUUGGUCGCUUAUCAACCCUGAUGAGAUGGUCAGCAAAGCGCAACAUUCAUUCAGCAGAUAUGAGCACUAUUCACCACAUCAAAUCCGACACUGUCAUCAACGAGUGUUCCAGCCGUCAACGGUACCUAGUUCUACAAUUGUGGAAAAUGUAUAAUGAACAUAAAUCCCUGUAUUUAUUUAUUGUCAAAACAAAAAAUAUAAUAUAAUAUAUAGGUACAAGGGAUUUUGGAAAUCUGGAAAAUACCAGUCACUUGGUGAAGCUACAGAUCAGUGCAACUAGGCCUAAACCCCUUUGAGGCCGCAUUCCGUCUAGAGGAAGGGUGCAACGAUGCCAUCUUAGGAAAUCGUCAAAGCGGUAUCGGGCGACCAAACAACGUACCAACACUCAAUCUUUCAUUCGUAUCAAGAGUGUUGUCAAGUAUCAAGUAAGAGAAGCUUAUAUGAGAUUUUAAGAGAAAUUUAAAAAAAGUGAUUCAAAAAAGUUAAGAGUGAUUCAAAAAAGUGAUUCGAAAAAG